GGUGGAGUAUGUGGUUUAUUUCGACGCAACGCGAAGAACCUUACCAAGGCUUGACAUUGAGUGAAAGACCCAGAGAUGGGUCCCCUUCUUUGGAAGCACGAAAACAGGUGGUGCAUGGCUGUGUUCAGCUCGUGUCGUGAGAUGUUGGGUUAAGUCCCGCAACGAGCGCAACCCUUAUCCUAUGUUACCAGCACGCAAUGGUGGGGACUCAUAGGAGACUGCCAGGGAUAACUUGGAGGAAGGCGGGGAUGACGUCAAGUCAUCAUGCCCCUUAUGUCUUGGGCUACACACGUACUACAAUGGUCGGCAACAAAGGGCAGCGAAGCCGCGAGGCGGAGCCAAUCCCAGAAACCCGACCCCAGUUCGGAUCGCAGGCUGCAACUCCGCCUGCAGUGAAGUUGGAAUCGCUAGUAAUCGCAG
rnacentral:rRNA from 1 species